rnacentral:rRNA from 1 species
CAAUAGCGUAUAUUAAAGCUGUUGCGGUUAAAAAGCUCGUAGUUGGAUUUCUGUCAAGGACAACUGGUCCGCCCCUCGGGUGAGCACAUAGUUUGGUCUUGGCAUCUUGUUGGAAACUGUUGCUGCACUUGGUUGUGUGGCGCAGUGUCCCGCACUUUCACUUUGAGGAAAUUGGAGUGUUUCAAGCAGGCACAUGCCUUUGGACACAGUAGCAUGGAAUAAUUAGAUUGGGCUUUUGCUCCAACUUGUCGGUUUCUGGAGCUGAGGUGAGAAUUAAUGGGGAUUGUUGGGGGCAUCCGAAUUUAGCCGUCAGAGGUGAAAUUCUUGGAUCUGCUAAAGACGGACAACUGCGAAAGCGUUUGCCCAGGAUGUUUUCAUUGA